rnacentral:rRNA from 1 species
AACGAACGCUGGCGGCAUGCCUAACACAUGCAAGUCGAACGAGACCUUCGGGUCUAGUGGCGCACGGGUGCGUAACGCGUGGGAAUCUGCCCUUGGGUUCGGAAUAACAGUUGGAAACGACUGCUAAUACCGGAUGAUGACGUAAGUCCAAAGAUUUAUCGCCCAAGGAUGAGCCCGCGUAGGAUUAGCUAGUUGGUGAGGUAAAGGCUCACCAAGGCGACGAUCCUUAGCUGGUCUGAGAGGAUGAUCAGCCACACUGGGACUGAGACACGGCCCAGACUCCUACGGGAGGCAGCAGUGGGGAAUAUUGGACAAUGGGCGAAAGCCUGAUCCAGCAAUGCCGCGUGAGUGAUGGAGGCCUUAGGGUUGUAAAGCUCUUUUACCCGGGAUGAUAAUGACAGUACCGGGAGAAUAAGCUCCGGCUAACUCCGUG